UACGAAGGGGGCUAGCGUUGCUCGGAAUCACUGGGCGUAAAGGGUGCGUAGGCGGGUUCUUUAAGUCAGGGGUGAAAUCCUGGAGCUCAACUCCAGAACUGCCUUUGAUACUGAAGAUCUUGAGUUCGGGAGAGGUGAGUGGAACUGCGAGUGUAGAGGUGAAAUUCGUAGAUAUUCGCAAGAACACCAGUGGCGAAGGCGGCUCACUGGCCCGAUACUGACGCU
rnacentral:rRNA from 1 species